GAAUGUACCAGCUGACACCAAUACAUAUUCAGGUUUCAUGCUUUGGAAUCUUUCAUCUAUAGGUAUAAUAUAAGCCCUUUAUAAGCUUAUCACAUGCUGGCUGCUGCAGCUUCACCAAAGGCACGGGAACUCUUCAAACAAAUUAAGAUUUAAUUUCAACUUUGAAGAGGCCAAAUUGACGCAGUAUUUUUUUAUUUUUUACUAUAAGUGUAGGUGUGGUGGGGUGGCGAUAGUUAAGUGGGAAUUUAUAAAAUGAAUGUUACCUCUCGCUUUGUUUGGCAACAAUGGUCGUUAACACGAGUGUUCUGUUUCAUGCAUCUCGUGGCCGCUUAUUAUAUAUGAGUUACCACGUAUGUAUACUAUUGUUGUUGUUUUUUUGUAAGAAAAUACAUGUCCACAAUGGUGGCGGCAUCGAGCACCGAACCCGUAUCUUCUGCUAAGCGAUCGUAUCCCUGUACUCGGCACCGAGUUCGUUCUAUCCCUAUUCCAACUUCGGGCCAAUAAGACUCUUUUAAAUUGUAUUACACCGCUAUAUCUAACAUGGAUUUUCUUCGAAUCCUAAAGCAUUGCUCGUAAUAGGUGCUUAGCUUUUUUAUAUCUCGUUCGGUUAAUUGGCCAUAACAUUAAACUUAAAUACACG